AUGCGCGGGGAUCGCCGCCAGUCAGCGCGUUGCGCCCACUGGCGUCUUUGUC
rnacentral:sRNA from 1 species